UACGGAGGGUGCAAGCGUUAUCCGGAUUCACUGGGUUUAAAGGGUGCGUAGGUGGGCAGGUAAGUCAGUGGUGAAAUCUCCGGGCUUAACCCGGAAACUGCCGUUGAUACUAUCUGUCUUGAAUGUAGUGGAGGUGAGCGGAAUAUGUCAUGUAGCGGUGAAAUGCUUAGAUAUGACAUAGAACAUCGAUUGCGAAGGCAGCUCGCUACACUACGAUUGACACUGAGGCACGAAAGCGUGGGGAUCAAACAGG
rnacentral:rRNA from 1 species